GCCCGCAUGGCUCAGUGGUAGAGCGUGUCACUAGUAUCCACCUUCUCGGAUAAUGACAAGGUCGUCAGUUCGAUUCUGGCUGUGGGCA